rnacentral:rRNA from 1 species
UGCGGACUAUCAGGUUGUAGUCAGGGUAAUGACCUGACUAGCCCACGACGGAUACGGGUUGUGAGAGCAAUAACCCGGAGAUGAUAUCUGAGACACGAUAUCAGGCCCUACGGGGCGCAGCAGGCGCGAAAACUUCACAAUGUGGGAAACCUUUGAUGAGGGGAUUCCAAGUGCCAACACGGUGUGGGGGCGUGUUCACCUGCCUAAAAAGCUGGUGAAGUAAGGGCCGGGUAAGACGGGUGCCAGCCGCCGCGGUAAUACCCGCGGCCCGAGUGGUGGUCGUUAUUAUUGAGCCUAAAGCGACCGUAGCCCGGUUUGGUAAAUUUUUGGGUAAAUCGGGCAGCUUAACUGUCCGAAUUCCGGAAAGACUGCCAAACUUGGGACCCGGGGGAGGUUGGAGGUACUCCUGGGGUAGGGGUGAAAUCCUGUAAUCCUGGGGGGACCACCAGUGGCGAAGGCGUCCAACCCAAAACGGAUCCGACGGUAAGGGACGAAGCCCUGGGGCGCAAACGGGAUUAGAUACCCCGGUAGUCCAGGGUGUAAACGCUGCAGGCUUGGUGUUGGGGGUCCUACGAGGGCGCCCAGUGCCGGAGAGAAGUUGUUAAGCCUGCCGCUUGGGGAGUACGUCCGCAAGGAUGAAACUUAAAGGAAUUGGCGGGGGAGCACAGCAACGGGUGGAGCGUGCGGUUCAAUUGGAUUCAACGCCGUAGAACUCACCGGGAGCGACGGUUACAUGAAGGCCAGGCUGAUGACCUUGCCUGAUUUUCCGAGAGGUGGUGCAUGGCCGUCGUCAGUUCGUACCCCCCCGCCCCCUCCCUUAAGUCAGAUAACGAACGAGACCCUCAUCCUUAUUUGCAACUAUUCCUUUCGAGGUAUAGGCACUAUAAGGAGACCGCUGGCGCUAAGUCAGAGGAAGGAGAGGGCAACGGUAGGUCAGUAUGCCCCGAAUCUCCCGGGCAACACGCGCGCUACAAAGGGCUGGACAAUGAGUCUCGACACCGAAAGGUGAAGGUAAUUUCGAAACCAGCUCAUAGUCCGGAUCGAGGGCUGUAACCCGCCCUCGUGAAGCUGGAAUCGGUAGUAAUCGCGGGUCAACAUCCCGCGGUGAAUAUGCCCCUGCUCCUUGCACACACCGCCCGUCAAACCAUCC